CUCAGUCAGACAGUAGGGUCUAUAGCCGGGGCAUCAGAGAAAGAAAGGAAGACACAACUGGACUUGGAGGUGUGAAUGGUUCAAUAAUAACAGUAAAUAAAUGGAGAGGCACUGGAGAUACUUUAGUGAAUAAGACGUUGGAGGUCACUGACUUCACAGGACUUGGACCUGAAGAUGUUCUUUUAACAUCUGCAUCAGACAAGGAAAUCCGGACACGUAAACAUUUUAGCAAGCUACAUAAAAGGCACAGCCAAAGAGAAGUAUGAAGCUGCUAUGAGAAGUGUGAACAUGGCUCUGGACCCAGGGCUGCAGGCCUCUUCUCGGGCUACACUCAGGAUGGGAGACAUCAUAAACUCUGACUUGUCCCCCUCGUGUCUCAUUUCUCCUUCCAACUAUUGAGCCUGGACAAGUUAACCGCCUUUACCAAGGAAUGAGAUGUCUGGGUGGAGAAAGUAACCACAAGUAUUUUUCAGCUGUGGUCAGUUGUUACGGCUUAAUUAGAUUUUCAAACAGCAUUCACCCAUUCUGCUGAAGUGUGACUCAGCUUCAUCCUUCUUUCAG
ensembl:lncRNA